rnacentral:rRNA from 1 species
GACGAACGCUGGCGGCGUGCUUAACACAUGCAAGUCGAACGGAAAGGCCCUGCUUGCAGGGUACUCGAGUGGCGAACGGGUGAGUAACACGUGGGUGAUCUGCCCUGCACUUCGGGAUAAGCCUGGGAAACUGGGUCUAAUACCGGAUAGGAGCCAUUUUUAGUGUGAUGGUUGGAAAGUUUUUUCGGUGUAGGAUGAGCUCGCGGCCUAUCAGCUUGUUAGUGGGGUAAUGGCCUACCAAGGCGGCGACGGGUAGCCGGCCUGAGAGGGUGGACGGCCACAUUGGGACUGAGGUACGGCCCAGACUCCUACGGGAGGCAGCAGUGGGGAAUAUUGCACAAUGGGCGCAAGCCUGAUGCAGCGACGCCGCGUGGGGGAUGACGGCCUUCGGGUUGUAAACUCCUUUCGCUAGGGACGAAGCUUUUUGUGACGGUACCUAGAUAAGAAGCACCGGCUAACUACGUG